rnacentral:rRNA from 1 species
UACAGUGGGUGCAAGCGUUGUUCGGAAUUACUGGGCGUAAAGCGCGUGUAGGCGGUCUUUCAAGUCCUGUGUGAAAGCCCUGGGCUCAACCCAGGAAGUGCGCAGGAUACUGGAAGACUGGAGUGACGGAGAGGAUGGCGGAAUUCCCGGUGUAGAGGUGAAAUUCGUAGAUAUCGGGAGGAACACCUGUGGCGAAGGCGGCCAUCUGGACGUUGACUGACGCUGAGACGCGAAAGCAUGGGGAGCAAACAGG